AAGGGCAGAUCAUGCACAAGUAGUUCCAGACACCAAGGCCUCGUCCUCCCACAGCCCAGUGCCUCGUGACCCUGGCUGCCAGCCUUCAGUCCCACAGGCAGGUUCAGAUGACUGUCCCGAAGCAGAUGUCAUCCAUCCCAGGAGUUUACAGACAGUGACGGGGCUGCCACACCACCAGCUGACCAGGGUAAGAAUGGUACCUGAAUCCUGGGAGUAGCUGAAGCCAGUGUCACCGGUGCUGCUGCUGUGCCCCAGGGACUGUCCGCCUGCCAUGAGAGCCGUGAGGUGUGGGGACAGGCCCAAGUCUGAAAGGCAAAGUUGGCAUCGAUGGAAUAAGCGCAGGCUGCUCAGAGACUCACUGAGCUCCCCAGGGGGAACCUUCUUGCCCACGUCAGCCUCCACGACAGACAGAGGGGAAAGCGAAGGUGAGCGGUCAUGUGAGGAAGCCUUCCAGGCACGCACACGAGAAAUGUAACCCCCAGGACUUCCAUUUGAAUAGUUAAAAACUCUUCCCCGAGGUGGAGUCUGUGGAGAAGCAGCAAAGCAGAAGGAUGAAGACAGAAGGAAGGAGCGACCUGGGAAGGAGAACCGAGUGUCUCCAGACAAAGGAACUGAGGUGGGUGAAGAGGCCUGGAAACAGUCUCGUCCUCAUGUAGAGCCGCUAAGGCUUGGGAACUGCAGGCCCAGGAGACUGCCCGACAGACCGUGGACUCCACAGACAGUCUCUGUAGGAAGCAGCUGGACCCCGCUGGGGCUCUUCCCAGCCUCAGAACCCCAUCCCGCGUCAGCAGAACAGAGAGAACAAACCAGGAGCGGUGCCCAGGAGCGGUGGCACUGAGACAUCAGGGGCAAAGGGACCAGUAAGACUGAGGAAGCCAUGAGAGCCUAUGAGAGAACGCUCCCCAGCAAAAUGGACCAGAAAAGACAAGUGCGCGCGGAGAGCAGGGAGCCAGGGAGAUGGCCCCGAAGGAGCGCCCUACAACCAGGAAGCCUCCUGAGCCUACCUCACCAGAGGCUUCCUAGUGUCUUCCUUCCAAAGUGGAAGGGAUGGCAGGGACCACCACACAGUCAAGGACAGUCCCUAGCACAACAGACAUGUGAGAAACAGAGAGAAAAGAGAGAGACGUAGACCUGAUGGGAGAUGACAGAGACCUUUAAAAGAACUGGGCACCCACGGAGACAGCUGAUCCGAGCUAGUGGGAGCUCGUGGACUCUGGACUGACAGUUUGGGGACCUAUAUGGGACCCCUGCAUGUGAGUGACAGUUGUGUGGCUUGGUCUGUUUGUGGGACCCUCAGCAGUGGGACCAGAAUUUAUCUCUGGAGCAUGAGCUGGCUUUUUGGAGCCCAUUCCCUAUGGUGGAUGCCUUGCUCAGCCUUGAUGCAGGGGGGGAGAGACUUGGUCCUGCCUAGACUCGAUAUGCCCUAUGGGAGGCCUUACCCUCUCUGAGGGGGUGGAUGGAGGUGAGGAUGGG